UACAAUUGUUCUAGUGGAUUUCUAUGAAGAGUUGAAAGGUGUUUCCAAUGCUGUGUUUCAUUAAGAUAUGAUCAAACCACUAGAUGCAACAUUAUAAAAGGGUAACAACCAAGGCCUGAACAAAAAGAAAUUAUGUGGGAUCAACUACUUGUUUAGACCAGUGUAUAAAAAAACAUCUGAAGCUUGGAAAUUGGUAGUUUUACAAAUAUCUAAAUCAAGAAUGUGACAGGGCUGCAGAUGGAAAAAACUCUGAAAUAAUAUAAAGGUUCAACAACAAGCAAGAUGUAAGAAGUGAAGAAACUUUAACCAUCAAGAAAGUUAAACCAAAGUUGAAUUAUAAUUCGUCAUCAAUUGACAUCCUCCUAAUAACUCAUAACAACAACCAGGCAGCUAUUCUGUUUCUCUCAUAACUUAUAAUGACAAUCUACUCUUUCUUUCAUAACUCAUAAUGAUACUCAGCGAUUAUGAUUCUCUCAUAAUUGAUAACAAUGAUCAAACUAUUCUAUGCAUUAGAUGUAUUACUAUAUAAAACAAAUGUGUGAUUCAUAUAAGUGAUGCAAUAUAAAUCAAGAUAAAUUAUUGUUAUUCUAAAACUAUAUGAAAUACUACUG
rnacentral:lncRNA from 1 species